rnacentral:rRNA from 1 species
CCUACGUGUGGCAGCAGUGGGGAAUAUUGGGCAAUGGAGGCAACUCUGACCCAGCAACGCCGCGUGAAUGAUGAAGGUCUUCGGAUUGUAAAGUUCUUUGCUGUGGGAUGAACACAGUGACGGUACCCCAAUAGCAAGCCACGGCUAACUACGUGCCAGCAGCCGCGGUAAUACGUAGGUGGCAAGCGUUAUCCGGAUUUACUGGGCGUAAAGGGCGCGUAGGUGGUUUAGUAAGUCGGCGGUGUAAUUACUGGGCUCAACCUCGGAGCUACAGUUAAAACUAUUAGUCUAGAGUGCAGGAGGGGUAAGCGGAAUUCAGAGUGUAGCGGUGGAAUGCGUAGAUAUGAGGAGGAACACCAGGGGCGAAGGCGAAUUACUGGACUGUAACUGACGCUGAGGCACGAAAGCGUGGGGAGCAAACAGGAUUAGAUACCCUGGUAGUC